rnacentral:rRNA from 1 species
GGGUUGUGAGGUUAAGCGACUAAGCGUACACGGUGGAUGCCCUGGCAGUCAGAGGCGAUGAAGGACGUGCUAAUCUGCGAUAAGCGUCGGUAAGGUGAUAUGAACCGUUAUAACCGGCGAUUUCCGAAUGGGGAAACCCAGUGUGAUUCGUCACACUAUCAUUAACUGAAUCCAUAGGUUAAUGAGGCGAACCGGGGGAACUGAAACAUCUAAGUACCCCGAGGAAAAGAAAUCAACCGAGAUUCCCCCAGUAGCGGCGAGCGAACGGGGAGGAGCCCAGAGCCUGAAUCAGUGUGUGUGUUAGUGGAAGCGUCUGGAAAGGCGCGCGAUACAGGGUGACAGCCCCGUACACAAAAAUACACAUAUUGUGAGCUCGAUGAGUAGGGCGGGACACGUGGUAUCCUGUCUGAAUAUGGGGGGACCAUCCUCCAAGGCUAAAUACUCCUGACUGACCGAUAGUGAACCAGUACCGUGAGGGAAAGGCGAAAAGAACCCCGGCGAGGGGAGUGAAAAAGAACCUGAAACCGUGUACGUACAAGCAGUGGGAGCACGCUUAGGCGUGUGACUGCGUACCUUUUGUAUAAUGGGUCAGCGACUUAUAUUCUGUAGCAAGGUUAACCGAAUAGGGGAGCCGAAGGGAAACCGAGUCUUAACUGGGCGUUAAGUUGCAGGGUAUAGACCCGAAACCCGGUGAUCUAGCCAUGGGCAGGUUGAAGGUUGGGUAACACUAACUGGAGGACCGAACCGACUAAUGUUGAAAAAUUAGCGGAUGACUUGUGGCUGGGGGUGAAAGGCCAAUCAAACCGGGAGAUAGCUGGUUCUCCCCGAAAGCUAUUUAGGUAGCGCCUCGUGAAUUCAUCUCCGGGGGUAGAGCACUGUUUCGGCAAGGGGGUCAUCCCGACUUACCAACCCGAUGCAAACUGCGAAUACCGGAGAAUGUUAUCACGGGAGACACACGGCGGGUGCUAACGUCCGUCGUGAAGAGGGAAACAACCCAGACCGCCAGCUAAGGUCCCAAAGUCAUGGUUAAGUGGGAAACGAUGUGGGAAGGCCCAGACAGCCAGGAUGUUGGCUUAGAAGCAGCCAUCAUUUAAAGAAAGCGUAAUAGCUCACUGGUCGAGUCGGCCUGCGCGGAAGAUGUAACGGGGCUAAACCAUGCACCGAAGCUGCGGCAGCGACGCUUAUGCGUUGUUGGGUAGGGGAGCGUUCUGUAAGCCUGUGAAGGUGUGCUGUGAGGCAUGCUGGAGGUAUCAGAAGUGCGAAUGCUGACAUAAGUAACGAUAAAGCGGGUGAAAAGCCCGCUCGCCGGAAGACCAAGGGUUCCUGUCCAACGUUAAUCGGGGCAGGGUGAGUCGACCCCUAAGGCGAGGCCGAAAGGCGUAGUCGAUGGGAAACAGGUUAAUAUUCCUGUACUUGGUGUUACUGCGAAGGGGGGACGGAGAAGGCUAUGUUGGCCGGGCGACGGUUGUCCCGGUUUAAGCGUGUAGGCUGGUUUUCCAGGCAAAUCCGGAAAAUCAAGGCUGAGGCGUGAUGACGAGGCACUACGGUGCUGAAGCAACAAAUGCCCUGCUUCCAGGAAAAGCCUCUAAGCAUCAGGUAACAUCAAAUCGUACCCCAAACCGACACAGGUGGUCAGGUAGAGAAUACCAAGGCGCUUGAGAGAACUCGGGUGAAGGAACUAGGCAAAAUGGUGCCGUAACUUCGGGAGAAGGCACGCUGAUAUGUAGGUGAAGUCCCUUGCGGAUGGAGCUGAAAUCAGUCGAAGAUACCAGCUGGCUGCAACUGUUUAUUAAAAACACAGCACUGUGCAAACACGAAAGUGGACGUAUACGGUGUGACGCCUGCCCGGUGCCGGAAGGUUAAUUGAUGGGGUCAGCGCAAGCGAAGCUCUUGAUCGAAGCCCCGGUAAACGGCGGCCGUAACUAUAACGGUCCUAAGGUAGCGAAAUUCCUUGUCGGGUAAGUUCCGACCUGCACGAAUGGCGUAAUGAUGGCCAGGCUGUCUCCACCCGAGACUCAGUGAAAUUGAACUCGCUGUGAAGAUGCAGUGUACCCGCGGCAAGACGGAAAGACCCCGUGAACCUUUACUAUAGCUUGACACUGAACAUUGAGCCUUGAUGUGUAGGAUAGGUGGGAGGCUUGGAAGUGUGGACGCCAGUCUGCAUGGAGCCGACCUUGAAAUACCACCCUUUAAUGUUUGAUGUUCUAACGUUGACCCGUAAUCCGGGUUGCGGACAGUGUCUGGUGGGUAGUUUGACUGGGGCGGUCUCCUCCUAAAGAGUAACGGAGGAGCACGAAGGUUGGCUAAUCCUGGUCGGACAUCAGGAGGUUAGUGCAAUGGCAUAAGCCAGCUUGACUGCGAGCGUGACGGCGCGAGCAGGUGCGAAAGCAGGUCAUAGUGAUCCGGUGGUUCUGAAUGGAAGGGCCAUCGCUCAACGGAUAAAAGGUACUCCGGGGAUAACAGGCUGAUACCGCCCAAGAGUUCAUAUCGACGGCGGUGUUUGGCACCUCGAUGUCGGCUCAUCACAUCCUGGGGCUGAAGUAGGUCCCAAGGGUAUGGCUGUUCGCCAUUUAAAGUGGUACGCGAGCUGGGUUUAGAACGUCGUGAGACAGUUCGGUCCCUAUCUGCCGUGGGCGCUGGAGAACUGAGGGGGGCUGCUCCUAGUACGAGAGGACCGGAGUGGACGCAUCACUGGUGUUCGGGUUGUCAUGCCAAUGGCACUGCCCGGUAGCUAAAUGCGGAAGAGAUAAGUGCUGAAAGCAUCUAAGCACGAAACUUGCCCCGAGAUGAGUUCUCCCUGACCCUUUAAGGGUCCUGAAGGAACGUUGAAGACGACGACGUUGAUAGGCCGGGUGUGUAAGCGCAGCGAUGCGUUGAGCUAACCGGUACUAAUGAACCGUGAGGCUUAACCUUACAACGCCGAAGCUGUU